rnacentral:tRNA from 1 species
UAGCCUAGUGGUUAAGGCUAUGGAUCGCCAAUCCGAAGAUUGCGGGUUCGAUUCCCGU